rnacentral:rRNA from 1 species
GACGAACCGUGCGAACGUUAUUCGGAAUCACUGGGCUUAAAGCGCGUGUAGGCGGCCCGGCACGUCAGUCGCUGAAAUCCCCCGGCUCAACCGGGGAAGUGGCGUUGAUACGUCCCGCCUGGAGGGGCGUAGGGGGACCUGGAACUUCCGGUGGAGCGGUGAAAUGCGUUGAGAUCGGAAGGAACGCCCGUGGCGAAAGCGAGGUCCUGGACGCCAUCUGACGCUGAGACGCGAAAGCCAGGGGAGCGAACGGG